rnacentral:rRNA from 1 species
GACGAACGCUGGCGGCGUGCCUAAUACAUGCAAGUCGAGCGAACCAAUAGGAGCUUGCUCCUGUUGGUUAGCGGCGGACGGGUGAGUAACACGUGGGCAACCUGCCUGUAAGACUGGGAUAACACCGGGAAACCGGUGCUAAUACCGGAUAAUCUUUUUCCUCUCAUGAGGAAAAACUGAAAGUCGGUUUCGGCUGACACUUACAGAUGGGCCCGCGGCGCAUUAGCUAGUUGGUGAGGUAACGGCUCACCAAGGCGACGAUGCGUAGCCGACCUGAGAGGGUGAUCGGCCACACUGGGACUGAGACACGGCCCAGACUCCUACGGGAGGCAGCGGUAGGGAAUCUUCCACAAUGGACGAAAGUCUGAUGGAGCAACGCCGCGUGAGCGAUGAAGGCCUUCGGGUCGUAAAGCUCUGUUGUUAGGGAAGAACAAGUACCGGAGUAACUGCCGGUGCCUUGACGGUACCUAACCAGAAAGCCACGGCUAACUACGUGCCAGCCGCCGCGGUAA